UACGUAGGGUGCAAGCGUUGUCCGGAAUUAUUGGGCGUAAAGAGCUCGUAGGCGGUCUGUCGCGUCUGCUGUGAAAACUUGGGGCUUAACCCCGGGCCUGCAGUGGGUACGGGCAGACUAGAGUGCGGUAGGGGAGACUGGAAUUCCUGGUGUAGCGGUGAAAUGCGCAGAUAUCAGGAGGAACACCGGUGGCGAAGGCGGGUCUCUGGGCCGUAACUGACGCUGAGGAGCGAAAGCGUGGGGAGCGAACAGG
rnacentral:rRNA from 1 species